rnacentral:rRNA from 1 species
UGGGGAAUAUUGCACAAUGGGGGAAACCCUGAUGCAGCAACGCCGCGUGAAGGAUGAAGGUUUUCGGAUUGUAAACUUCUUUGAUUGGGGACGAAUAAUGACGGUACCCAAAAAACAAGCCACGGCUAACUACGUGCCAGCAGCCGCGGUAAUACGUAGGUGGCAAGCGUUGUCCGGAGUUACUGGGUGUAAAGGGCGUGUAGGCGGGUUAAUAAGUCAGAUGUGAAAUUCCAUGGCUCAACUGUGGCGCUGCAUCUGAAACUAUUAAUCUUGAGUGAUGGAGAGGAAAGUGGAAUUCCUAGUGUAGCGGUGAAAUGCGUAGAUAUUAGGAGGAACACCAGUGGCGAAGGCGACUUUCUGGACAUUAACUGACGCUGAGGCGCGAAAGCGUGGGGAGCAAACAGG